CCCGCGGCGUAUUAGCUAGUUGGUGAGGUAACGGCUCACCAAGGCAAUGAUACGUAGCCGAACUGAGAGGUUGAUCGGCCACAUUGGGACUGAGACACGGCCCAAACUCCUACGGGAGGCAGCAGUAGGGAAUCUUCCACAAUGGACGCAAGUCUGAUGGAGCAACGCCGCGUGAGUGAAGAAGGCUUUCGGGUCGUAAAACUCUGUUGUUGGAGAAGAAUGGUCGGCAGAGUAACUGUUGUCGGCGUGACGGUAUCCAACCAGAAAGCCACGGCUAACUACGUGCCAGCAGCCGCGGUAAUACGUAGGUGGCAAGCGUUAUCCGGAUUUAUUGGGCGUAAAGCGAGCGCAGGCGGUUUUUUAAGUCUGAUGUGAAAGCCCUCGGCUUAACCGAGGAAGUGCAUCGGAAACUGGGAAACUUGAGUGCAGAAGAGGACAGUGGAACUCCAUGUGUAGCGGUGAAAUGCGUAGAUAUAUGGAAGAACACCAGUGGCGAAGGCGGCUGUCUGGUCUGUAACUGACGCUGAGGCUCGAAAGCAUGGGUAGCGAACAGGAUUAGAUACCCUGGUAGUCCAUGCCGUAAACGAUGAAUGCUAGGUGUUGGAGGGUUUCCGCCCUUCAGUGCCGCAGCUAACGCAUUAAGCAUUCCGCCUGGGGAGUACGACCGCAAGGUUGAAACUCAAAGGAAUUGACGGGGGCCCGCACAAGCGGUGGAGCAUGUGGUUUAAUUCGAAGCAACGCGAAGAACCUUACCAGGUCUUGACAUCUUUUGAUCACCUGAGAGAUCAGGUUUCCCCUUCGGGGGCAAAAUGACAGGUGGUGCAUGGUUGUCGUCAGCUCGUGUCGUGAGAUGUUGGGUUAAGUCCCGCAACGAGCGCAACCCUUAUGACUAGUUGCCAGCAUUUAGUUGGGCACUCUAGUAAGACUGCCGGUGACAAACCGGAGGAAGGUGGGGA
rnacentral:rRNA from 1 species